rnacentral:rRNA from 1 species
GACGAACGCUGGCGGCGUGCUUAACACAUGCAAGUCGAACGAAGUGUCGAACGGGUGAGUAACGCGUAAUCAACCUGCCCUUCAGCGGGGGACACCAGUUGGAAACGACUGCUAAUACCGCCUACUGAGGUAGGGGCUUGCGUCUGAUUAGGUAGUUGGCGGGGUAACGGCCCACAAAGGCGAUGAUCAGUAGCCGGUCUGAGAGGAUGAACGGCCACAUUGGGACUGAGACACGGCCCAGACUCCUACGGGAGGCAGCAGUGGGGAAUCUUCCGCAAUGGACGAAAGUCUGACGGAGCAACGCCGCGUGAGUGAUGACGGCCUUCGGGUUGUAAAGCUCUGUUAAUCGGGACGCGGUACCGGAAUAGAAAGCCACGGCUAACUACGUGCCAGCAGCCGCGGUAAUAC